GACCAAGUCAGUUUUAAAGGAGAUUGGGUUUGACAGCAUUUCAGAAUUCCAAUUGUACAUUGAUGGCCGAUGUUAGAUGCUCUUGUAACAUCUAGAGGCCCCAACCUAGAUCGGGGCUCCAUUGUGAGGAAAAGCCUAUGCUGUGAUGGAGAAAUUUGCCAGAUUGCCUUCCGGGGAAGACAGCUGUAAAAGAAUGGAUCUAGGGCAUGAUCCUUUAUCCAUGGACUGAUCGAUGCUGACAAGGUGGAGUGCCAAGCUACUGGACAGAGAUCCUUGGAGCUUCUCUAGGGAACCCUGAAAUACUUAUGAAACUAGCCGAUUACUAUAUCUCUGCUAUCCUAUUGGACUUAUAAACUUUGACUGAGCUCAUAAUGUAUUUUACCACCUUUAACCUCUCAAUAACUCAUUUUGUUUUCUUAGCUAACAAACCUUUAGUUACAGAAACUGGUCAUCAGGGUUGUCUUUGGUGUGAGAGCCAGAGUAUCCAUUGACCUGGUGUAAGUGACCGACCCCGCAGGGUCGUGAGUAACCUAAUGUGAGGAGGAGUUGGGUUUUUUUUAUUUUUAAUAACCGUUAAUCACAAAAUCCAGUUUGUGUGGUUUGUUAGGGGCUGGAGAAUCUCGGGGACUGUUGUUGGCUCCAUGGUAAAACUAAUAUAGUAAUUCCAGUGUGCAUGUUUGUUACUAGAUUGGUGAAAUCGAACAAUAAAAUACACCACCAGUUUGGGGUGUCUGCCCUGUUUUCUACCUGUCUGAUCUAAGCCUGAGACUCUCCAUUGUAAGCCAUACCCAACAGUGUGACAACCUCUAGGUGUAACUAUUGAAUGUCUAACACAACAUCCCUUCGAGCUAUAAUUACUCUUAAAAAAAAAAUAGUCUGUCAGUUGAAACAUCUCUACUCCCACCCAGAAUCUGUCUCUGUGUUCAAUGUUCUGUUGCUAGGCUCGUCACUGUCACAGUUGCAUGCAUCAGAGCACAUCAAAUGUUCCCUGCAGCAUUUGCACCUCUUUGUUGCACAGCUGAGGAUGGUUUCAGGAAGAGGAAGCAUCAUGUUAGGAAUAUGUCCCAUGAUAUGUCACCCAUCCCCUGAUGACAGGGAACCCCUGAUGACAGGGAACCCAUGAAGAUACUUAACUGGUGCAUAAGUCCAAAUAUAUGACUGACAAUUCUGCAUAUUUCAGGGGCUGCUUGAAGGCUAGUGUUGAGGGCAGAUUCUCACUUGUUUUGUUCUCUUUAGCAAACAACUUAACACCACACAUUAUCCAGAAAUGCUUGCUUCUUAUGGCAGUGCAAUAUAGCUACCCAUAAGCUGAUCUGUCUGAAAGAGCUUCAAUUGGGCUGGACUGCAGUUAUGUACCUUUAAAUUGGUACUGAGCAAGGACUAUUUGAUUUGGCUAGUGAAUCUUGAAUAACCAGAGUGUUAAUGAGGGUUGCCCAUGCCAUGAAUGAAAAGUAAUAGUCCUAAUUUUAAAAAGCCAUCAACAGGCAGAGACAGUCCUACCUCCUAGACAAUCGUAUCCUCUUCAAUGUAUGACUGUGUUUCUGCUUUUUUGCCCUCAAAACUACUCAGACUGUAGAUAAUGGGAGCAGGAUAUAAAUACCAUCAUGUAAUUAAGUUACUGACACACCAUAACUCAUAUUCCAUGCUUCAUUUUGACAUAUUUCACUAGCCUUCCCUAGCUCCACACCCCCAUAAUCCGUGCACUGUUAAACAUCACUGU